rnacentral:rRNA from 1 species
UACGAAGGGGGCUAGCGUUGCUCGGAAUCACUGGGCGUAAAGGGUGCGUAGGCGGGUUUUUAAGUCAGAGGUGAAAUCCUGGAGCUCAACUCCAGAACUGCCUUUGAUACUGAGAAUCUUGAGUAUGGGAGAGGUGAGUGGAACUGCGAGUGUAGAAGUGAAAUUCGUAGAUAUUCGCAAGAACACCAGUGGCGAAGGCGGCUCACUGGCCCAUAACUGACGCUGAGGCACGAAAGCGUGGGGAGCAAACAGG